GAAGCCCCGGCACCCUUUGGGGUGCAUUUCCAGACUUGCAAUCUGUUGUGUAGCGUACACUCCGGAG
rnacentral:tRNA from 1 species